GAGGAAGCCAGUCACCAUGUCAUGGGGACACUUACAAAGCCAUGUAGAGGCUUGCAGGGAGGAAUGUGGUAUUCUCUCAGCACCGAGCACCAAAUGGUGUGCAUUACUUUGGAAUUAAAUCCUUCAGCAGCAGACAAGCCUUGAGAUAACUGCAGUCCAGCUGACAUCCUGACUGCAACCUCAUGAGAGGCCCCAAGCCCCAGUUGCCCAACUAAACCACUUCUUAAUACCUGACUCAUAGAAACUGUGAGAGAUGAUAAAUUGCUACAUUUUGAGCCACUUUGGGAUGGAGGGUCUGGUAGAUAGAUGGAUUCGGACAGUCAGAGAGACGAGUCUCGGCAGCAAGAUGGUUGAGAAAAGAAGAUAAGCAUGAAGGGGACUGCCAUAGAUUCUCAAGGGACUCUAGGGGCUUCUGUCUGUCUCUAGCAAUACCAGGGCCAGAGCUCACCAGCUCAGUGAGCACCAAGAAGAAAUGGUCACACCAAGGAGCAAAUCCACACUGGACUCCCUGUAAAGGGGGAACCCGGGAACCCAGAGAGCAACUGCCAGCACUCGUCCCUUGGAGGAAUUUGGCUGAUGACUGAGAAGUCACAAGCCACACCAGCUUCCCCGGAGGAGAGAAGGACAUGAGUAACGGCUUCCUGUUGGACCACACACCUGGGGGAAGCACCGUCAUUCCCAGCCAUGAGCUCACCGUCCUUGCUCAGACUUCAAGGCAGACGGAGAGUGAGGGGAGGUGAAAACAGGCUGGCGUGACCUUUGCUUUCUCUCUUAUCUUAGCUGAGACGAUACUGGCUGCUGGCUUUCCUACUGCUGUUAAUG
rnacentral:lncRNA from 1 species